rnacentral:rRNA from 1 species
UUAAAUAAAAAGAUAAUAUAGUUUUAUUUUCCCGAAAUAGGGAGAGCUAAAUAGUUUUUGAUUUUAGUUGGUAGAACUUUUAGAAUAGUGUUGCAUAACUAUUAAGAAAAAAUUAUUUAGGGGUGAAAGGCCUAUCAAUCCCUAUAGAUAUCUGGAUUAGCUUAAAAUAUAUUUAGUAUAAAAGACAAAUAUGAAACUUUGAGGUUUCAUAUUAAUAAAAUAAAGUAUCUUAUUAAAAUAAUUCUUGAAUUAAUCUUUAAGAUAGUACCCAAAACCAAUAUAAAAUUACUAAAAAGAUUUAUUAUACAAAAGCUAUAAGGUUUAUAUAAUUAUUUUAUGACUUAAUUUCUGUUUAAAUGAGUAUUUCUAAAAAAAUUUUAGAAGGAACUCGGCAAAACUUAUUAAUCUCAACUGUUUAUCAAAAACAUAGCUAGAUGUAGUUAAUAUAUUUAGUUUUUUCUGCCCAGUGAAUCUAUUUUAACGGCCGCAGUACACUGACUGUGCAAAGGUAGCAUAAUAAAUUGACUUUUAAUUGAAGUCGGGUAUGAAUGGGAAAAUGGGAUUAAGCUGUCUCUUUAAAUUUAGAUAUAAAUUACUUUAGAAAGUGCAAAGACUUUCAACUAUUUUAAUAGACGAGAAGACCCUAUGAAUUUUUAUAAAAAGGAUAAGAUAAACAACCUUUUAUUUUUGUUGGGGCAACAAGUUGACAUAUAUUAUAAACUAAUAAAUUCAAUUAGAAGAAGGAUUAACUUUAAGAGUAUUAUAACCCGAAUUUUAUUAUUUACAAUUAAAUUACUAUAGGGAUAACAGCAUAAUUUUAUUUAUAAGUUUGUGACCUCGAUGUUGGACUAGGGUAUAGUUAGAAUAGCAUUUUAACUAAAAAGUUCUGUUCGAACUUUAUUUCCU